rnacentral:snRNA from 1 species
AGUUUUGCACAGUGGCAGUAUUGUAGCCAAUGAGGUUUAUCCGAGGCGUAAUUUUUGCUAAAUGAAAACUUUUCCCAAAGUACUGCAUCCUUUCUUGAUUAAAACUCUUCAGAGU